GAUCAGAUGGCGCGGAGCCCCCAAGAGGCCCCCGCGGCACGCCACCGGCAAACGGACGGCGCGGAGGCCCUCUCAGCCCUCGGUGAGCCCCAGGAAACGGGUAUUCCACUAUUCCAGCACCCCUUAUAGGAGUAAUCUAUCUCUACUACUAUAAAAAACCGAGUCGGUGAUGAUGGUGUGCCUGCCUCCUGACCAUCUCAACCAUCGGAUCUGAAACGAACGGCUUAGAUAACACUAAUGUUCUGCAGUCACAGGCUCAUAGCUCCGUCGUCCUUCUGGACCGCUGGUGCGCAGCACUCCCCGUCAUCUCUUCUAGAAAGUUCAUGCGAACUUCUGGAACCGUCCUCUCUUUUCUCCCCAACAAUACAGAGGGCGACCUUCAAGCGAACUCCAGAUCCCGCCGUCGAUACCUGUGGUCCCGCUCUGUCUGCUGGAGAGGUGGGGGACCCCGGAUCUCCAACCGGACGGUGAGGGGUUUGAGGCUUCUUGGUCUCGCAGAUCUGGUUGCCUGGGUCCCGCGAGUUCGCUGCGUUCGUCGGCGGGGUGGAGAUGCCGAGCUGGUCUUGUUUUUCUGGCAUGCGGCGUCCGCUGCGCCAUCCUGGCGUGCUCAAGAUCUCGCCUCUCGCGGCGGGCUAGAGCUGUGUCGACUCACAAAUAUACUAUGUGAUGGUACUCCUCCGGGACCGGUGGGGUGGCUGCUGCUCUGCUUCUUGUCCGGCGGCUGCGUCGACUGCAAACGGCGGAUAGCGGUGAACCUCUGGUUGGAUGAAUUGGGAUUGAAGUCCUCCUGUAUCCUGUGUAUCUGUUCCGUGUUAUCUGUAUUUGCUACCGUAUGUGUUCCAGGGUGGUUUCCUACUCAUUCAAAUACAGAUAAGCGUAUGCCUACGGGUGUACGUAUUUAUUCAGAAAAAAGAAAGGUCAUGUCGACUCUGGUCGCCAUGAUCCUCAGCGUGUAUAUGAACUGUUGCCGGCGCCCUCUGAAUCCCUAUAGCAACAGUUUGUUCUUCUACUACAAGAAUGCUGGAGGAAGGUUUCGUGGUGGUGCGAUUGGCUUAUCCAGUCUCUCGCCCCUCGGUUAUUCCUCAUAAUGCCGUCAGCUUUUCUUCCAUCUCAUCCUCUUCUCCAGUCCUUCCAAUCCUAUGCAGGAGUGGGCAGCGGCAAGAUUGUUGACUCGGGGCAGGUUUGGCGGUUGGUGUUGGCGGCGCUGGUGCACUUGGUCGGCUUCGUCGGGUGAAGAAGCUGAUGCUGGCACGGGGUGGAUCCCCAUCUGUUGCAGCCCAACGUAGAAGAUUCAGAAUCCUCAUAUGUUUGUUCCAAACACAUGGUUACCUUCCUAGAGAAAAGAAAGAAAAAAGAGCAUCGAGGAGGCAACCGCAGGCUACCUCGACCCGGAUCCCGCCGGAGGCAGCCCUACCGCGCUCCUUGACGACGCCAGGCGCGACAUCAAGCGCUGCCGCUCGCUCCACGGCUUGGCCAGCGGCAUACCCCUCUGCGCCCGUGCACUGGGCCUGGCACCCGACGCGGAGACGAGCCAGAGAUGGGGGAGCUGCAACGUCGCCGCGCUCACCUACGCCCGCAGCGCGCAGAUGAGGCUCAGCAACGCCGCGUCCUUCUACAAGGCGGCCGGGGACGCCAUCGUCUUUUUCCAAACAUAUAUGUUUGGAAGGUAACACAUGAUUUGCCUGUAAUGGAUGGAGUAGUCUGGCACUCUUUCGACCUGGCCGUAGAUCUUAAACCCCACCUUCCAGUCUUUGGCGCCGUUGAUAAUUGUUCACUGCAAUUUUUUAAAUCGGUCUCUUAUCGCCAACUCCAACGAGUUACACCCAGCCCGAUUGACAACAACUGGCAACCCCAUUUA